GAUUUCAAUUUCAAUGUCGCAGGACACUCCACGAUGAACUGAAGAAAUAGUAUUUGAUCUAAAGUCUAGUUGAUUCGAUUGAUCAGCUAAUGUUUAAGGUGUUUGCACCGUGGUCGAUCUGAACGAUGGGCAAAACCGGUCGCCGGUCUCACGGCGAACUCGCCGUCACUCCCUCGCGUCACGCUUCGAGCGUCUCCCGGCUGAUUCGCCGUCACUCGCUCGCCGAGGUGGCCAUCGUGUCGCGCUUCAAGCAUCUACCUUCUUUUUUUUCCCCCAGCGGCGCCCUGUUCAUGUUCAAUCCGAACCAGGCAAUCAUCAAGAUUCCACCGAUCCGCAAACCUAGUCUAAUCCGAAACGGAAGGGAGGGCCUGGGUACUCGUUGUAUCAUCAUAGAGAAAAAGCCGAUUCCACCGCCCCCAAACCAAAUUCCUCCCACUUGUGGAGCAACUUUAUCUUCCCACGGCCGAGCUUUGAAUCCCUACCUAGCAGGAGGGAGCUAUGGUGUUGGGGACCCGGAACGUCGACCGCACCGACAGCGGCGGCAUCGACACCGGCGGCACCAGCUAUAUUGGCAGUGGCCUGUUCACCCGCCUCCUCCGCAUCUUCAGCCGCCGCGUUAGCGAGCCCCCCCGCGUAUGCAAGCCACACAUCUACGGGACGGGGCCCCUUGAUGACGAGGACGUCAAUCUUGGGUUCAGCGAUGGCACGGAUGUGUUGGAGAUGUGCUCGGAGCUUCUCGCCAGAAUUCAGAUCUGCUACCAGCAGGCUAAGGUCUUCAACGCCGCCGGCGGCUUCUGUUUCGGUCUCUUGGAUCCCCUCUCCAACAUCAUCGUCAACGCCUUCAUCGACAAUGCUGUCGUCGUCGAGACAGAGGAAGAUGAUGACCAGGCCACUUCUCUAUGGCAUGGACGACAGACUGAUGGUCAGAUCGAGGACCGGGACAUGAACCAGCGGUCGCUCAACGGCCUCGUCGCCUUCCUGGCCGGCCUGUUCCCCCACCUCAGCGACGUGCAGGCCCUGUGGUACCUCCACAAGGCCAAGGCCGACCCUCUCGUCGCCGCCCGCAUCAUCAUCAAGCACCGCCGGAUGGACCACAGCUUCAGGUUUGGUUCCGAUGCUACCACGGCAGCCGUCCAAACGGCUCUACGCUGCGCCGCCGCUGCCGCGGACCACCCCAAUCCGAGGCGGUUUCUUACAGGGUGGAGGAUACUUUCACCAAGUCUGAAUAAGCUUGCCGCCGUGCUAUCGCUGUCAGCCCCUGACGUGACCUCCAACUUGUUUGCGUCCAUGGUGUUGCUGCUCGAGGAAAAUCACGCACCAGCUUUUGACCUCGGGGGAUCCUGGGAGCUAGCCUCAUCUCGCCUCGUCACUCUCAGUCCAGACCUCGGAGGGGUGGUGUUUCCUGGGCAUACGACCAUGAAGCGUAUGCUUCUCACCACUAUCCAUGGAUACUACCUGCAGGCACUUGCCAGGCUGCCCAGGGACCUGCUCUGCUCUCAGCACCUGCUCUACAGCAUGAUGCACUACGGCCACUGCUUCGGCCCGCUUGACCCUGUGUCCAACAUCAUCUUCAGCACCAUCUGGUAUAGCUCAGCCUGCCCGCUUCCCUCGUCGAUACAAAAUUCCAAGAUGGUCAUGGUCAGCACCACCGCGAUGCUGAGGAUCGCUGUCCGGUCCUUCUAUGGCCUCGUCUCCUUCCUAUGCACCCGCUACGAUGCGCUCGCGGUCGAUCAAGCUAUGCAUCAUCUGCUGGAGGCUGGGGCUGACCUGCGAAUCGCUGAUCCCAACUUCCAUGGUAAUAACCGCGCUGCUGGAGGACACGUUCCGUCUGCCACUGUCCAAGAGGCCUAUGCUGCUGCGGCUGCUGCCGCACGCCACCCACAACAUCAAGCGCACAUUCUGCUUCUCCGACAAACUUCUUUGAUUUCACGGAUGGGCUCCAUUUAUCUCAAGGGCAGCGGCCCGCUCUCCCGGGAUGUUGUUGACCACCUCUCCAGUACUGCACGGCACUUGUCCUCAAGCCACUUCCAAGGUCUACUGCUGCCACUGCAAGAAACACCCAGGGUGUUGGAUAAGUUGACUUACAACAGGGUUAAUCAAAAGAGAGUAAGCUUCUGGAACCAGCAUGCUAGAGCUGUCACAAUGGUGAAAUCUGCAAUGGAUAUGUACAACAGUCAACCUGGGGUACCCAAAUAUGAACUUCAUGUUAUCUGCGGUGUCAAUGAGUACGUACAUGGCCCUGAGUACAUCACUGGCAACUAUCGGAAAUAUCAUCAUUCCCAUAUCAAUUUCCUCGCCACAUGCAAAGAAAGCCAAUCUGCUGGUGCUCGUCCAGUUCUCUUCUUUGCCCAGUGGAGCAACCAUGGCACCAAAGAGGAGUGCUUCUGCUUCCCUGUUGGGGUGCCACCUCUGAACUCGGAACAAGUCCGUUGUCUUUACUGUGAAUAUGAAGGGAGCAGGAUUGUGCAUCCUGCAAACGAGAGUUUCCACGGGCGUGAUAUUGAGUUUGAGAAGAUGUUAUGCGGGCGACUCUAUUCAGGAAACUACACCAACGACGGCAUCAUUGAACAUAGCUGCCCCUUGGCCUUUUGGGUACAUGGUCUGGCAGACGACUCCAUUUACUCUGUUGACCUUAUUGAUGAUGAUGAUAAAGAAGAUGGGGUGCAACCAGUGGACUUCCAAAGAUUGAUAAGGUUAACGUAAUAUUGUCACAUAGUACCGCCACUGAGCACUGUAUUAAUUCUACCCCAGAGUUAGCUAGUAUGCUAAAUACUUGUAUCUGAGCAAGAAGUAUUUGCAAAAUGCUCUGAUUAUUUCCCACUAAUGGUCUAAUGUUCUCGUUCUGGUUGGAUUUGGAAAAUAGGAUAUGAUGCUACUGUCGGUGUCAUUGUUGGGCUUGUUUAACCUGUGAACAUACGGGAAGCUGUCAAGUCACUAUGCCUUUUUUCAUAUCAUUGCAAGUGCAGUCUGAUCCUAACGUAAUAUAUAAUGCAUCUGUGGGAAAAGAAUUAGCAUGAGUUCUUAACCAAAGCGUCCUGCACCUACAGGUGGCAGGUUCACCAACUUUAGUCAGUUCAAAACCCGGAGACUUAUCUAGGCCCGAUAUAUCACUCAAUCCCUUAUGAUGGGAACACCCACAUCUCCUAGUAUGGUGCGUGACCUGCGACCAUCCUGAUUACCAUAUUUACCUUGCUAAUCUCUUGCUGGUAGUAUUAUUUUACCAAAUCGCUCGGCAGUCCCCUUAGUUAACAAAAUUCAAAUGCAGAUCCAUAGAGGUUAAUUUCCUGUGGAUAUCUCUUUCUUAAAUGUCUAUUUCCUCUUGUAUUUUAAUUUAGUGUAACUGAAUAUUUACAUACUUAUCUCCAAUCUAUAUUUGAGGAGAGGGAUGGACAUAUUAUUUUGUCCAGCCACGCCAUAUAUACAGGGCUUUUCCUAUGUAGGCGAUGUGAACUACAUUGUUUUGGCUUGGUCUUCAUUUUGCUCAAUGUUUGUGUGAUUCACUCAUGACAAUGCAUUUUAUUGACCUAUGAUUUUCCGAGCUGCCGAAUAUUCCAACCAUCGUAUCUACACAGGACGAUGUAGCGACAUGGUAUGAAUGAGAAAGGCCUAGUUCCCGCGUGUGCACCCACGUAGGAAAUUGCAGUGUUCUUGCUCUUGCAGAGAUGCUCUUGACAAAUAAGUACCCUGAUAGAAGUUGGUUCAGUUUCUCUCUAUCGAAGGGGCUUGGAAGUUAGUAGCAGUAAAAAAUCUAGCAAAAAUGGUCUCUGGUCGCUGAGCUCAUGUCUGAGUGCAAGUCAAUGCACUUCAGGCCCAGGUGUAUAUAUAUCACUGAUCUGCAGUUUUGGGCGGGAAACAAGAUCUAAUAACAUUGUAUUUAUUAGGCUCAAAACAUAGGAAGCAUGGCAACAAGGUACCUUUGCAUUUCUUUGCAUGUGUACAAUUUUGGGAUCUCUAAUUUUUUUGUAACGUCAAUUGAUUGUCAAGCAGGAACGAUACUAUGCAUAUGGAAGAGGUAACUUCUUCAGUCCUACAUGAAUUAAACAUUCUCUCACAGUAUAAUAUAUAAGUGCUGAACUGCAUUUUUUGUUGCUUACCUCAAAAUCUGAGCCAACCCAGUAGCAAGAGAUUCAAAUUUCUGAAAAUGGCUUUUUUGUCACCUGUUUUUGGUUGUUUUGUUUGUAGUAUGAUAUUGCCAUCUUUCAAAAUUUAUUUUGUAUUCGCCUAAUCAUGCUGCGAUGAAAUAUCAAACUAAAGAAGGCUUCGUAAAGAGCAGGGUUUUUAUGAACCUACGACGGUGGAGAGGGCACUAGACUGAACACUGAAAUAUGCUCAGCUCAUGUUAGACAUGCUGUCUCCUUUGUUCCCGAUAAGUAGUUUUUGAAUAAAUGAGUGAUAGCUGUUGCUAGCCCCCACGACAUGUGUGCUCAAAAUCUUGUGAUAAUUCAAUUUCAUUGUUUCUUGUCCAUAGAUGAUUUUUCAAUACGUACUAUUCUAACUUUGUCUACUUCCCACUUUGAUUUUAAGUACAUAGCUUUGAUUUAGAAACCUUUUCUUGCUGCUCGAUCCUUAGACUCAUAGUGGUUGCAUUUCUUCUUAACUAUAUAUCCUUCAUCUUAGUCAUUCUAUGAGCUAAAGGAUCAAUUUUGCAACUGCAAAAUAUUGGAAUCAGCAUUGGAAAACCAAGAGACAAAUCACGAGAGCCGAGAAAACUCUCAAAAGAUCUGGCAAGUGGCUAUAUAUCCUUAACAGGCACACUACAUAGGAUUGCUGCAUUGCCUGGAAGUCAGGUUGUUGUAAGUACAACUAGGAAAAUUGCCCGUGCGUUGCUACGGCCGAAAAAAAUUAAGCCUAGAUACAUGGAUAAUAAAUUAAUCUCCCAAAUUUUCAUAAAACAAAUUAAGAAAGUGAAUGGCAAUACCGGUCAGCUGUUGGAGAUCCACUGUGAACUGAACUAAGUGUCAUAUAGCAGAGCGUUAAAUAGACGGACUGAUUUAACACAACGGCAUAUAUUUAUUCUUUUUUUUGCGGGGCAACAUAUAUUUGUUUGAAAGUCCAUUGAAGCCACGUCAGUAUAUGCGAAACUUGCUCCCUUCUUGAUCAUUUGGUUUUGGACCAAACAACGGUGCUAUUUGCUUCUUGAUUUUGGAGGUUGAUGAGGAUAUUUUUCAGGCAACUUACGGACGUAUAUAAACAGGUUAGAUCCGGAGCGAGGUGGAACUUUUCAGUAAAAAUACCAUAGCUAGACAUAACCGAUCGGCCAGUUUUUUGUGGGCAGCUUCACUUCACCGAUUGGGCCACUCCGAUAUUUCUGUUAUCUUGGACUGGAUUGAGGUAUAUUUGUAGCUACAAAUUUCGAUCAUACAGGAUCCAAAUGAUCGUCAUGUUCGACGUAACUCCCACCAGGCAAUAAUAAUAUUGUGCAACUAAAACUCUUAAACCAGAAGUGCAUAUAAGACUUUGUGCGGUACCUCUAUUUGAUUCAGAGAUAACCAUCAAGAUAUGAUGCAGUUCGGAAUGAAUCAGCAUACCAGCAAAUGGCGGUAGCUUCUGAUUUUUUAUGAACUGAUAUAACAGGCACCACCAUAGCACCUAGCAUACAUCUAUCCCAAGGAAUUCAACAUUUUUUGCUUGCAAACAGCAGGUUCCAGCCCAGGAAAAAAAUGCGCACAUGCACUGGCCUCCUGCAUGCGCAAUCUCAAAACCUUCAACACCGAGCUCAGCUUGGGGAUUGUGCACUUCAGUAGCAAAGCCAACAUGUUGGUAAUUGAUGGAGACAGCUGUGCUCAGUCGAAUUGCGGGUAAAAAAAGAAUAAUUGGUCCCCAUGUUGUCGAUGCCCCCAGCGGGUCAAUCAAAUUCCCAGUACGGCAAGGUAACCGCCCAGUGCAGAGGAGGAUGAGCCGUCGCUGGCCAUGGCUAGCCAUGCACAUGGUGUGGCACUCCCAGCGUUAGACCCGAUUGAUUCAUCUGCUCUAGCAAGCCACGGAUUCUAAUCCACGUCGGCGAUUGCACAUAUGCUCCCGUCGACUCAAUCUGGAUGGAGCUGAGUUCUCGGGGGGAGACGGACGGCGCCGGGUCGUCGUUUUGCCUCGCGCUCAAUCGGCGCAUCCCUCCCUCGCCUCCAGCUUGGUGGAGUACUGGGACGGCAUCCAUGGCAGCGGACAUCUAGGAUCCAUGGCGGUGAUGAGCACAAUCAGUUGUCGGGAUCCAUCGCGGCGGAGACCGUGCGUCACCGGAUGAGGAAGAGGAAAUCACGGCUCGGCCAGUGCAAGCGAAAUAGGAAAUCGCGGCGGGCGUCUCCUCGAUUUUCGUAUGGGCGAGAUCCCGAUCUGAUUAGACUUCUGGAGCGGGAGGCGGAUCUAGAGGGUCUCGGUAGGGAGGAGAUAAAUAAUAUCCAAACUGAACCGGUAAUGGCAAUCUGCAGUAUUAUGCGAUUUGGUGGGAGGGUAAAAGCGUCCAAUAAAAAGUUGGACGAAAAUUUUGGCAGAAACCUUAGCUCCUUUAUUAUUAGGUAUAGAUUUGUUCAGUGCAUUUGACUGUCACAGGGAGGUUAAGCAGAAAAUAACAAGGUGGGAAAAAUGACGAGGGGCUAUGAUGUUGUGCUAUGGUGAAGAUGCUGAACUUAAGAUAUAAGGCAAACGAGAAUGGAUGGGAAAUCUGAAACCACUGAUUUGCACAAAGUUGUCAAUGGUGUGACCGUACAUUGAAUCAAAUUGAUCUUCCAUAUGGGGAACUAGCUGUAAGUUAUAUUGCAAUGGAAAAAAUGGAAAUCGUCGCAAGGUUCUGAUGUUAUUUUUGAAGCUUAUUACUAUGAACAAAAUACUAGAAAUUGCCACAUGUAUUAAAAUAGGUCAAUAUGGUUUUCAAAAUUUACUGUCUCUGCAAUUUAGCUUAUAUUGGAGUGCCUUAUUACUAGUUUAAAUUAGGGAAAUGCUUAGUUCACCCAGGGGAUCGCGCGACUCGCCGGUGCUACCGGAUUGGGAAUGGUGAAGAUGUGAACAGUUGGAGGGAUGGUUGGAUUCCCAGGGAUUACAAUUUGAGAGUAUCUCUGGGCAAAUCCAAUAUCAGAGUGCGAAAGGUUAGCCAAUUACUCAUUCCUGGAACAAACAGAUGGAAUGAGGAUCUGGUCUGAAAAGUGUGUCACCAAACAGAUGGUGAUUGGAUUCUGAACUUGAAACUUCUAGCAGCUAAGGGAAACGAUUUCUAUGAUCGACCGGGCACCUUCUCGGUUAAGAGUGCAUGCAAGCUGGCCUACAACCUCAAUAACGGUGUUAGAUGGCUUCCAGGUGGUAGCUGGACAAACAACAGCUCCAGACUAACAUGGAAGCCCAUUUGAUCCGCGAAAAUCCCGAGCAAAAUUAAGAUUUUCAGUUGGAGAGCUGCCUGCGACAAUGUACCGACUAAGAAGAAUAAAUUCAGAAGAACACUAGAGGCUGAUAGUAUCUACAGUAUACAUGGACAAGCAGAGGACAACAGUGACCAUGCUAUUGUGGAAUGCACCAAACUGAAAGCUCUCAGUUUUGCUAUGAUAUCAUAUUGGUAGCUACCUCCAGAAAAUAGUUCUGUUUUUUCAGGUCCUGAUUGGCUCCGGCUAUUGCUUGCAAACUGUAGCCAAAAUCAAAGGAACAACAUCCUCAUGUUGCUCCGGCACUCAUGGCAUUUGAUGUGUGAUAUCACGCGUGUCAAAGGAGAAGAAACUAUUGCCAAAUCUGUAUCUUGCCUGCUGAACUAUGACAUCCUUCUGAAGAACCGGGACCAAAUCCAUGACAAAGUAGGUAAUUACCCACCUGAUCCACCUGUACUUACUAACGUUUCUUGUUUGUAACCACAGCCAGGAUCUGAAUACGAGUACGCUGUGGAGGUCAAGCUCACAAAAUUAAUGUCAACGCGUUGUUCUAUACUGAGUUGGGCGAGGCAAGCUAGACGAGGCGAUUGGGAGAUGCCAUGAUGCAGAGGAAGCCGAAACCUUGGGUAUCCUGGAAGGCCUGAAGAUAAUAAUCGACCAUGACCUGAAGCCUGCGGUCCUGGAAUCCGACGCUCAGUUGUGCUAAAUGUUAACCGGGCGUCCGUUAACAGGUCUGUUAACAGGUCCAGUUCAUGGGCUAUUUACAGAGACAUUGCUGCUGCUAAUGCUCUGAUUCCUGAUUGUUAAGCCGUGAAAAUAGAGAGAAACAUCACUACAGUAGCACAUAAUUUUGGGUCCUUAGCAGUGUUUGGUCUCAGGCUCUCAGCCUAUCCCAGUCGCUAUUCAAGCUCUUGCUAUUCAUGAAAGUGUAAUGUUAUCUACGAGUAAUAUAUGAUUUUUCCUCCUUUGAA